rnacentral:rRNA from 1 species
UACGUAGGGGGCUAGCGUUGUCCGGAAUCAUUGGGCGUAAAGCGCGUGUAGGCGGUCCGGUAAGUCCGCUGUGAAAGUCGGGGGCUCAACCCUCGAAAGCCGGUGGAUACUGUCGGGCUCGAGUACGGGAGAGGCGAGUGGAAUUCCUGGUGUAGCGGUGAAAUGCGCAGAUAUCAGGAGGAACACCGGUGGCGAAGGCGGGAUCCUGGGCCAGUACUGACGCUGAGGAGCGAAAGCGUGGGGAGCAAACAGG